rnacentral:rRNA from 1 species
GACGAACGCUGGCGGCGUGCUUAACACAUGCAAGUCGAACGGAAAGGCCCUGCUUUUGUGGGGUGCUCGAGUGGCGAAAGGGUGAUUAACACGUUAGUAACCUGCCCUUUACUUUGGGAUAACUUUAGGAAACUGGGGCUAAUACCGGAUAGGAGCUCCUGCUGCAUGGUGGGGGUUGGAAAGUUUCGGCGGUUGGGGGUGGACUCGCGGCUUAUCAGCUUGUUGGUGGGGUAGUGGCUUACCAAGGCUUUGACGGGUAGCCGGCCUGAGAGGGUGACCGGCCACAUUGGGACUGAGAUACGGCCCAGACUCCUACGGGAGGCAGCAGUGGGGAAUAUUGCACAAUGGGCGGAAGCCUGAUGCAGCAACGCCGCGUGCGGGAUGACGGCCUUCGGGUUGUAAACCGCUUUCGCCUGUGACGAAGCGUGAGUGACGGUAAUGGGUAAAGAAGCACCGGCUAACUACGUG